rnacentral:rRNA from 1 species
CCUACGGGAGGCAGCAGUGGGGAAUAUUGGACAAUGGGGGCAACCCUGAUCCAGCCAUGCCGCGUGAGUGAUGACGGCCUUAGGGUUGUAAAGCUCUUUUCUCCGGGACGAUAAUGACGGUACCGGAGGAAUAAGCCCCGGCUAACCUCGUGCCAGCAGCCGCGGUAAUACGAAGGGGGCUAGCGUUGCUCGGAAUCACUGGGCGUAAAGGGCGCGUAGGCGGCUGACUUAGUCGAGGGUGAAAGCCCGUGGCUCAACCACGGAAUGGCCUUCGAUACUGGUUGGCUUGAGACCGGAAGAGGACAGCGGAACUGCGAGUGUAGAGGUGAAAUUCGUAGAUAUUCGCAAGAACACCAGUGGCGAAGGCGGCUGUCUGGUCCGGUUCUGACGCUGAGGCGCGAAAGCGUGGGGAGCAAACAGGAUUAGAUACCCUGGCAGUCCACGCUGUAAACGAUGAAUGCUAGCCGUUGGUCUGCAUGCAGGUCAGUGGCGCCGCUAACGCAUUAAGCAUUCCGCCUGGGGGAGGUACGGUCGCGAGAUAAACUAACUAAAGAAGUUAGAG